UGCGGGAUCGUCUAAUGGUAGGACAGUGGCCUUUGAAGCCAUCAACCCUGGUUCGAGUCCAGGUCCCGCAGCUA
rnacentral:tRNA from 1 species